UACAUGUGGGGCAAGCGUUUGUUCGGAAUUACUGGGCAUAAAGGGUGCGUAGGCGGCAUGUUAAGUCAGUGGUGAAAUCCGGUGGCCCAACCAUCGAACUGCCAUUGAUACUGGCGUGCUUGAGUGCGUGAGGGGUGACCGGAACGAGUGGUGUAGCGGUGAAAUGCGUAGAUAUCACUCGGAAGGCCAACGGCGAAGGCAGGUCACUGGUGCGCAACUGACGCUGAGGAGCGAAAGCGUGGGGAGCGAACAGG
rnacentral:rRNA from 1 species